rnacentral:rRNA from 1 species
GACAGAGGGUGCAAACGUUGUUCGGAAUUACUGGGCGUAAAGCGAGUGUAGGCGGUGUGGUAAGUCGGAUGUGAAAGCCCCGGGCUCAACCCGGGAAGUGCACUCGAUACUGCCACGCUAGAGUAUCGGAGAGGUUGGUGGAAUUCUCGGUGUAGAGGUGAAAUGCGUAGAUAUCGGGAGGAACACCUGUGGCGAAAGCGGCUCACUGGACCACAACUGACGCUGAGGCGCGAAAGCUAGGGGAGCAAACAGG